UAGGGAAUAUUAGUAAUGGGCGAAAGCCUGAACUAGCAACACCGCGUGUGCGAAGAAGGCCUUCGGGUUGUAAAGCACUUUUUGAGAGGAUGAGGAAGGACGGUACUCUCAGAAUAAGUCUCGGCUAACUACGUGCCAGCAGCCGCGGUAACACGUAGGAGGCAAACGUUAUCCGGAUUUACUGGGCGUAAAGCGCGUGUAGGUGGUUCUGUAAGUAGGGCGUGAAAGCUCCUGGCUCAACUGGGAGAGGCCGUUCUAAACUACAGAACUAGAGGAUGGUAGAGGGAGGUGGAAUUCCGGGUGUAGCGGUGGAAUGCGCAGAUAUCCGGAGGAACACCAGUGGCGAAAGCGGCCUCCUGGACCACUCCUGACACUCAGACGCGAAAGCUAGGGUAGCAAACG
rnacentral:rRNA from 1 species